CCAUCCCUCCGCAGCUAGCUUCUUAGAGGGACUAUCGCCGUUUAGGCGACGGAAGUUUGAGGCAAUAACAGGUCUGUGAUCGCCUUAGAUGUUCUGGGCCGCACGCGCGCUACACUGAUGUAUUCAACGAGUAUAUAGCCUUGGCCGACAGGCCCGGGUAAUCUUGGGAAAUUUCAUCGUGAUGGGGAUAGAUCAUUGCAAU
rnacentral:ncRNA from 1 species